GGUCCCUUAGCACAGUUGGUAGUGCUUUGUACUUAUGAGGUUACCUUAGCCUGCGUUAUGCAAGGGUCCCGAGUUCGAGUCUCGGAGGGACCA